rnacentral:rRNA from 1 species
CCUACGGGGGGCAGCAGUGGGGAAUAUUGCGCAAUGGGCGAAAGCCUGACGCAGCGACGCCGCGUGAGGGAUGAAGGUCUUCGGAUCGUAAACCUCUGUCAGCAGGGAAGAAAGGUCACUGUGCUAUUCAGCAGUGAAUUGACGGUACCUGCAAAGGAAGCACCGGCUAACUCCGUGCCAGCAGCCGCGGUAAUACGGAGGGUGCGAGCGUUAAUCGGAAUUACUGGGCGUAAAGCGCUCGUAGGCGGUAUGUCAAGUCAAGGGUGAAAUCCCCGCGCUCAACGUGGGAACUGCAUUUGAAACUGGCAGACUGGAGUGUGUGAGAGGAUAGUGGAAUUCCAGGUGUAGGAGUGAAAUCCGUAGAUAUCUGGAGGAACAUCAGUGGCGAAGGCGACUAUCUGGCACAUAACUGACGCUGAGGAGCGAAAGCGUGGGUAGCAAACAGGAUUAGAUACCCGUGUAGUC